AGCAGCCGCGGUAAUACGGAGGGUGCGAGCGUUAAUCGGAAUUACUGGGCGUAAAGCGCAUGCAGGUGGUUUGUUAAGUCAGAUGUGAAAGCCCGGGGCUCAACCUCGGAAUUGCAUUUGAAACUGGCAAACUAGAGUACUGUAGAGGGGGUAGAAUUUCAGGUGUAGCGGUGAAAUGCGUAGAGAUCUGAAGGAAUACCGGUGGCGAAGGCGGCCCCCUGGACAGAUACUGACACUCAGAUGCGAAAGCGUGGGGAGCAAACAGGAUUAGAUACCCUGGUAG
rnacentral:rRNA from 1 species